rnacentral:rRNA from 1 species
GUAGUCCACGCUGUAAACGAUGACAACUAGUUAUUGUGGGUUUAACCCCUGCAGUAACAAAGCUAACGCAUUAAGUUGUCCGCCUGGGGAGUACGGUCGCAAGAUUAAAACUCAAAGGAAUUGACGGGGGCCCGCACAAGCGGUGGAUUAUGUGGUUUAAUUCGAAGCAACGCGCAGAACCUUACCUGGGCUUGAACUCCCACGAAGUCGGUAGAGAUACUGAUGUGCCCGCAAGGGAAUGUGGUGAGAGGCGCUGCAUGGCUGUCGUCAGCUCGUGUUGUGAAAUGUUGGGUUAAGUCUCGCAACGAGCGCAACCCCUAUCCUUAGUUGCCAGCAUUAAGUUGGGCACUCUAGGGAGACUGCCUGGGUUAACCAGGA